CGUAAAUACUGAACAUCUCGUGCUACAUGCUAGUGAGCCAGCGUAGACACAAACCCUGGUUUGCUACAAAAUAAAGUGAAAGACUUAGGGAUUUAUGAUAUGUGUUCUCAACUGUAAUACACAUCAGGCUAUCUCAGUAGCUACAGAAAUCUACCAACGCGCAAGACCUAGACAGCUAGACUGCACACUAGCAUACGCCAAAGUUCAGCAUCAAAGGGAACUAUGGGGAAAACAUCAAAAACAAGUGCAGGUGUCAUGAGUAGAGAUC
rnacentral:lncRNA from 7 species